rnacentral:rRNA from 1 species
UACAGAGGUCCCGAGCGUUGUUCGGAUUUAUUGGGCGUAAAGGGUGCGUAGGUGGAUAAUUAAGUCAGUGGUGAAAUCUUCAGGCUUAACCUGGAAACUGCCAUUGAUACUAUUUAUCUUGAAUACUUUGGAGGUAAGCGGAAUAUGUCAUGUAGCGGUGAAAUGCUUAGAUAUGACAUAGAACACCAAUUGCGAAGGCAGCUUACUACACAGUAAUUGACACUGAGGCACGAAAGCGUGGGGAUCAAACAGG